CCGUGCACCACUUCCGGUCUCAUGUCACCGACUUUCUGGACAUCCGACGCCUGGAUCCGACGGCGAUAGGAAUCCAUCCAUCAACACCAUGCUAUUAGCUGACCGGUGAAGGUGGACUCUAUCUAGCAAUGUUCCUGCAUCACAGCUUUGAUUGAUCUGUGUUAAGAGUCCUAGAGCUUUAAUCUCAUCUGUGUGAUAGUUGAUGUAGGAGUUGAACACCAUGUGGAAAUAUCUGCGCUUUGUUCGUGGAAAACUGGACAGGAGUAAAAACUCUGUAUGGGGUAGAAAGGCUUCCAUUGGGUAUGCACUAGGAACAUGGACACUUCUAGGAAUAUUCUUUAUCAAGUGGAAACAGAAUCACUUUGAGCUACCACAAUUACCACCUAUGCCAGAGGAGGAGAAAGCAGAGCUUAUAGCGCAGCUGAGAUUAGAGCAGAAAAAGAAAAGUGAAGAAAUCUCUCUCCAUGUUGCAGAGAAUGUCUACACACCACUAGAUUUUAUGUCAUGAUGACUUCUGCUACCUUUUAAGUACCUGAAACUAAGAAAGCUCCCAACUUUAAAUGGCCAAAGGGGCUCUUUUCUUUGUUUUUGUUUAUUUUAUGACAUGAUAAAAAGAUUCAUGCUAUUGUUGUGAUAGCAAUCACAUCUUAUCUGAAGGGGACUUUAAGAUUGUAUGCUGGUACAUACACAAGUUCUGAUCCUACAAUACUACUUUAGUUUCUUACCAUAAGCCUUUAAUACACAUGUAGUAAAAAAAAAAAAAGUUUGUCUUAAGCAAGUACCACUGAGCAAUUCACAAGGUAUUUAGUUUGUUUGUUGAAUUUGUUCAGAUUAAUAAUCCUCUGUACUAAGAUGAACUAUAUAUUCUUCCCAAUUAUGGGAAGUUUUCUGAGUAUCUCCAUUAAACCAAAGAGGAAUGGUAAAAUUGUUAAAGAAUUGCUUCAUAUUCCUCCAAUCUUAAGAUACAUACAUUUUAUUAGUUGUAUAAUAACCAAUUUUUGUUCUGAAAUAUUAUUUAGAUGACUUUGUGAAUAAACUGUGUUAGUAGUUUAUCAAUUAAUCCUGUCGGUGUGUAAAUAUGUUGUAGUUGGCUAUGGACUGACCAUGGCUUGUGCCACCAUUGUGAAUUAACCUAGAUCAUUAUAUCAAGAAUCUCAUUCCCUUUCUUGACAGGAGUCGAUAUUGACAUAUUAAUGUUAGGGGAAUUCCCUUUCAAAGCAAGAAUUUAAUACAGCAGGGCUCCACAAUUAUCUUUUUGGUUGUGAGUCUGGAUUAAAGUUUUUACAGCCUUUACACUAUUGACUAAAAAAAAAUUGAAUUCUGAGAUAAGUUUUAAAGGUUACAUGUAGCUGUUGUUUAAGGGCUACAAAAAAGUCCAUCAAAUGAUGGAAUAUUACUUUUAUAUUAUUCAAACCAGGAGCUGUUUUCAAAUCUUGAAUUACGAAUUCAUCCCAAAAUGUCUUCUGAAAAUUCUCCUAGGGAUAUCUACCUAAUUACCAUGUGCAUAAUUGAUGUGUUAAUGCAUUAAUGCCAUAAGGAUUACUUGUAGGUCAAAAGAGGGACUUUAAAUCACUGGAGUCGUCUUGGUUGAACAUGUCUAUCAGCUGCUGAUUAAUUUCUGCCUGGACGGAAACAUGAUGAGCUGAAAUCCUUUGUGACUUGUCAAACUUGGAUGCACCAUACACUGCCCAACCCAACAAUGUUACUUCCAGCGGUUCCCACACUUUUGGGAUAUUAUUUCUGAUUAAUAUAUGCCCACAUCCUCGUCAGUCUCUAGCAACUGAAUAUGGUGGAGGUACAGAUACUGCUUCAAUUGAGCUUGAGUGGGAAUUUCUUCUUUCCCGACUGGAAUAGACUUGGCUCCCAAAUUUCUGCAAGUCUCCAAAUCAUGCGAUGACACCUUGCAGUAAAGACAGUAUUUGCCUGUUGACCUUUCUUGCCUUUGACUGGAAAUGUUUAUAGAAAAGCCUUGCCUUUCAUUCCUUGGUUUCCAGGUUGGCUUACAUUGGAAUCAUAUGUGUUGUGUCAGUUCUUUGUGGCCCUUUGAUAAUGUCCCCCGUACACAGGGUUAGAUACUACACAAGGUUCCUUGGCCACAAACGUCACAACAUCAACAAACUGAAUACACUUUCCCUUUUCUUCCUGGAUGUAGUCAGCAGUAAGAGGUCAUUUCUCUUUUAGGCGAUACAGCAACUUGGAGAUGACCAUCUUGAUAUUGUUGGAAUGAUCUAUUUCAUUGCACUGUUUCAAAUCCUUGGCAGUGUUCAGCAACUCUGUCAAGCAGUGUGAAAGGUUAUUGAGCUUCCCUGCAUCAUCUGUCUUUAUUUCUGACCACUCCUCCAUGCGCUUGAUUAUGACAUUCUUGAUCCUAUAUCUGUUGCCAUUAUUCUUCUGAAGUACAUUCUUGUCCUGCCUGUACCAUUGUAUUAGCUUCACCCCUGGUGAAUCGUUUUAAGUAACACAACCUGUCUCUGGGAUUGGUUUAAUGAAUUGAUCUUUAUUUCAUUCAUCAUAAAACAUCAUAAAAAAACAUAUAAGAUACAAAACAUAGCGUACAAGUUAAAGAGACACAUUUACAAUAGAAUACAACAACAAAAAUGUCAUAUGAAUGUGGAGACAGCUAGGAAAGCCAAAGGUAUUGUAACGGGUCUCCAUUGAAUGGUGACAAAGUUCUUUGAGGUAAUGAUGCUCUCUGGUGGCACUCCACAAGAACCUUGGUGAGGUCAUUUUGUCUUUGUAUCACAUCGGUUUGUUGCAUUAAAUAUGCUGAUAGGUCAAACACGGACCGAUUCUCAUCUAGUGCAUUAUCAGCAUGUUGGUUUGUGCUCUCAAGGGGUACAGAGGAAGGAGAAAUGCUUUUGUUCUUUGCCCUCUCCACUGCUCUUUCAAUUAACUGUGCUCAUUUUAUGUGUACACAUACCUAUGCCAUCCCUCGGCUCGAUCUUGAUCAACGCGAUUGUCAUCACACAUGUUACACAUAGCACAAAAAUGAUUCAACCUGAACAUGUCCCAUCGUUUCCAUUAUAGUUGUAAUACCGGUAAUCACUUCCGAUUAACAUAUUGAAGAGAUAAUUAAAAGAGGUCAUGAAGAUGGAGUUUACUUUAUGCCUUUUAUGGAGCUUAUGAAGGUUGAAAAUUGGUAGGCCUUCCUAAAUUCUUCCAACAACUACAAAUUUGUCUCCCUAGCUCACUGUUUUCUUCUUAUCUCCUGCAGAGGGCCUUAAAUGCAAUUUCUGCCAAUAACAAUACACAUUACCAUAUUCCUCUCAACUGUGCCAGAACAGUCUGGUUGUCAUUGUAAUUAACUUAACUGAGCUUUCAGAAUACCUAUCAGCUAAUGGAUUUCUGAGAUUACAAUUCUUGAUUUUAUCAUUAAAACUUGUUUUUGAAUAAAGUUUUAGUUCAGUACAGCAGAGUUAUGCAUGAUUUAUUAAUUUGCCAACGGCAUGAUUCCAUCUUUGAUGGGUUGUCUGAUAAGCAUAGGAUACGGGAAGGUUAAUAAAACACUGUAAAAUAGCGAUGAUGUAAGUUUGGAGUGUUUCACUUGCCUCCAGUUAAAUAUUUAAAACUGAAUAAUUGUAAUACCAUAUUGUGAACAUGAAAAAUCUGAAAUGCAAUUUGAAUAAUGAAAAUAUA
rnacentral:lncRNA from 1 species